ensembl:lncRNA
AGCUGUGUGACCCUGGACAAGUCACUUAACCCCAACUGCCUCAGGGGGGAAAAAUUGGGAAAUAACUGAGUAACAACAAAGCUGCUGGAGUUACAGAUGUGAAAAAUGCUAGUUUUUAAUCUAGAGAAGCUCAUGGUGCAGUAGGGGAGGUAAGCAUGUGCACAGGUGUAACUAUAAUGCAAGACAAAAUAUUUGAAUUCAUAGAAAACAAGAACUGUUCCAUAAAAAUUUUGAGGAGUAUGCUAUAGUUCUAAAUCGGGACAGAUAGGAAAGGUUUCAUGGAGAAAGUAGUUGAGAAGGGUCCUGAAGGAAUCUCCAAAGGAAAAGCUCCUGAGAAUGAUUCUGCUUGUAGGUGGAAGGGAGGGCUGGCAUUUGAAAAUGCAGAGAAAGCAGAUGUCAAGAUCCGAUCAAAGAAUGGCAAGAAGCCCAGUUUUAAUUGCCCAGAGAGUACAUAAGGGCAGCAUGCUCCAAGGCAAUGUGAUGUAAGAGGACAAACUGAAAUCAAGAAACAGAGUUUCUUGGCUGAAAUUCAGGACCAUGGAUUUAGAGAUAGGAGUCCCCUGGUCAUAUACUAUAACUCUCAUUUUAAAGAUGAGCCUAACAGGUCAAGUCACUUGCCAAAGUUAGGAUUCAAGCCCAAAUCCUCUAAUUCCAAAUCUAGGACAUUUUUCAUUACACAAGUAGUUUAUAUGAAAUAGGGGCAUAACAUAAUGCUCACUCCUAUGCCCAAAUAGAUCUGUGCCCUUCUUCCCUUUACAACUUUUCCAUGUCUUCCCAUGAACUUAAGUUCAUCAGAGUAUCCCUUAGAGGUCUUCCUCUCUCCUGUAAUCAGACCAUCUGGGUCCACAGCGGUCAUCCAUCAAUCUGUUGCCUCUUGCUUUUGCCAGCUCAUUUUCUUUUUCUGCAUACUUGCUCUAAUGACUUUUUAUUCAAGUUGUUUCUAAAGUUCCUUAUUUGUUAUUUUGCAGAAUGCUUACAUUCAGCAUGUGAUCCUCCAUUGUUUUCUGCAAUAUUCCUUUUUAGUUCCAGGAGACUGAUAUUCCAUAUCUCACAGGUAUAUACUACCAAUCUAAUACUGGUAUUUAAAAAGAUGGAUUUUUGAGGAAGAAGUUAGGAAGUCUCAUAUGAACUGAUGCAAAGUGAAGUGAGCAGAAACAAGAAAACAAUUUAUACAGUAACAGCAAUAAGAAUCAAUUGAAAGACUCCUCCUGAUCAAUACAAUGAAUGACCUACCACAAUUCCAAAGGAGUCAUGAUGAAAUUGACUCCAGAGAAGAGUACUGAAGCAUCUUUUCUUCCUUUCUUAGUCCUUUUUUUAAAAGGAAUAUGGCUAGUGCAAAAAUUUAUUUUGCAUGACUACACAUAUUUGUAAUGCGAUAGGGGAGGGCCUUCACAAUGGAUAGAGGAAGAGAGAAGUGGAAGAUAAUUUGGAACUGAAAACAAAAUUUAAGUUUAACAAAAUACGUUCCUUCAAGCACUGCAAUAUUUCAAGACUUGCUGAAAUCAACUUGAUAUCACCUGCUCACAAGAGCACCUAGAGAAUCUUAUCAAUCAUAGGGAAUCCCUUCUUCAAUUUGGACUUUCAAAUUGGAUCUCCUUUAUCACAGCAACAAAAAUCUUCCUACUUUAUGCUCUGCCUUGCCUAAUGUUUAUGAUCUGGAAGUUACUGAUUAUCAUCUUAUAUCAUUCAAGGACUCCCGAAUGGUUUUUGCUAUAUGGAGAGACACCUUGUAGAAGAAAAAUUCCAAGACAGCAUUUUGCUCAACCAAAUCAAACACAUUUUCACAAUUAAUAAUCAACAUAGUGAAAUUAUCUCAUCUUUCUGCUAAUAAAGGUAAAGAUGUAGAACGCUGAAAUACCGCUUGUAAAAAGGCAGCAUGUUUCUUACUAAUAGCCUCACUAAGUCUAUUAUCUUAGUGUCCCAAGAUAAUUCACUUAUAAUUGUGUACAUAUGGGAAAGGAGACCUCUCACUCAGUAGUUGAUUGCACCUGUUACCUUUCCAGGGCAUCAAUAACAUCAAGAUUUUUUCUAAUGUUUUAAGUAUCUUACCCCUUCCUCCGUUAAUUUUGUGGAUUAAUCCUUGAAUGUCUUCACAAUUGACAAUUCUAGUGUGGUUCUCCUCUCCCUAUAUUUGGUACAAGACAACUACUUUUUUUCAUUUUAUUUUUUUUAAGUGACAUUUGUCUUUUAUAAGCACAUCCAGAACUAUGAGAUUCACUGAGAUGAUUAUAACAUCUUUUAAUGGUGGAAAUAAUUUAUGAAAAUCCUUGCAGUCCAUUUCAUUUUUCUUUAACAUUAUCCUCAUUCUGGUGUUAUCUUUAGGUUCCCUCAGGAUGACUUGUUGAGAAUUUUAAAACAAAAUGAAGAAAUAAAGUAAAAACCAAGUAAUGAAAGUUUGGUGAAACUAAACAGCAAGUAAUCUGGAAGGAACAACCCCUAAAUUUCCAUCAUUCUUCCUUACAAGAGUUAUUACUUUUUUAAUGUCUAACUAGGGCUACCUUCAGCUGCUCAAUUUGUCAAGUGUUUGCUGACUAAGGUAUCCUUUUGUCUCUUUUGGUCACAUUAUGGCAAUUGAUUUUCAUCUGUUAAAAAUUCUAUAAAAAAUCAUAACUAAUGUUGAUGAAAUUGUUUGCUAUCCAUUUUUUUGAAAAUAACUUGUUUAAACAUUUCAGGAGUGAGUCAUUAAAUGCUAAUUGCAUUUAAUAUUGUUUUCUAUUCUAUCUUGGUUCUACCAAGUCAAUUGUCUAAGUGUACAAAGCUGAUUAUGGGAUGUUUCUCAUAUCAAUAGUUUGUUGGGUUUUUUUUCUCAUUUGUUAAAAUCUAAUCUAAGAUGUGGAGUUGUGGGGAAGGAGUAAAUUCCAGGCAUAGGGGGCAGAAGAAUCAUAUAUAAGCAACCGUAUGAAGACUUAUUUUGGCUAAAUUAGGGAGCAUGUGAGAGUCCCCUGAAAGCUGGUAAAAUAAGGAAGGGCCAGAUUAUAAAAGACAAAAUAGUCCAAGUGGUCAGUAACAAGGAUCUGAAAAGGGAAACUAAAGUUAGGGAUAUAAAAAUGGAGUGAAAGAGUUAAACUUGGUGCCUGGUCAUGGGUAAUGAUGGUGAGAGAGCUGAUUGAUGUCUUCAGCUUGGGUGCCAUCUACUGAAACAGACAUGUGGAGGAAAUAUCAGAAAGGGACAUUUCCCAUCAACAGGGAAAGAGAGCAGUGGAAUAUGCAAUUCAGUAAAACAUCUAUAAUUUAGAAAUAUAUACAUAUAUUGAAGAUAUAAAAAUAAGUUUGAAAAUAAGAUCCAAGAAUCAAUUUGUAAGUUCCAGUACUAAAGAAUGUGUAUUUCUUCCUUCUUAAAAUCAUUCCAAAUAUUCUUCAAUUUUUUAUGAGAAGCAGUGUGAAUAGUGGAGAGGGAGAUGCUCUCAAAACCAGUAAAAUCUAAAUUCAAGUGCUAUCUCUGACAUAGAUGGAUUGUGUGACACUGGGAAAGUCACAAUCUCUCAGCGCUCCAGGGAACUUUAAGACACUAACUGCAAAGAAUGCACUGCAUGUAGAGGGAGUUUCUGUUCCCUAGAUCAAUGACAUCACAGAUGUAGUUUCUAUCCUAUUUUUUGUUCUUUGUUUCCAGCUCUAUCCUUCUCAGAGAAGUAUUCCUUUUAAUUAAUGAAAUGCAGUUAAUAAGCACUUGUUCCUGCUCUCAAACGGUUUAUAGCCUAUUAAAGGAGACAGUACGCAUGAGAUAAGAGUUCCCCUUCUCAUGUGGGCAAAUGGCAAAGAACC